rnacentral:misc_RNA from 1 species
GAUCCAUUGAUCAGUUGUGUUGGGAGUAGAAGAUGGCAACAUUAGUUGCGAAACAAGGGCCAUUGAGCAGUCAGAUUCAAGACACACCGGGAACGAGAAAUCAGUCUAGGGUGUUUACGAAGAGAAAGUUUAUCCUAAACCGCGAUGAAGAAGAGCUUGAAAAGGACAAUGCAGCAGCAUCGGUGCUCAAUGUUAUAGAGUUACCUAACAAGAGACCAA